rnacentral:rRNA from 1 species
AACCAGCACCUCAAGUGGUCAGGAUGAUUAUUGGGCCUAAAGCAUCCGUAGCCGGCUCUGUAAGUUUUCGGUUAAAUCUGUACGCUUAACGUACAGGCUGCCGGGAAUACUGCAGAGCUAGGGAGUGGGAGAGGUAGACGGUACUCGGGAGGAAGUGGUAAAAUGCUUUGAUCUCUCGAUGACCACCUGUGGCGAAGGCGGUCUACCAGAACACGUCCGACGGUGAGGGAUGAAAGCUGGGGGAGCAAACCGGAUUAGAAACCCGAGUAGUCC